GAUGAACGCUAGCGAUAGGCCUAACACAUGCAAGUCGAGGGGCAGCACAUGAGUAGCAAUACGAUGGUGGCGACCGGCGCACGGGUGAGUAACACGUAUGCAACCUACCUCUAACAGGGGGAUAACCCGUUGAAAGACGGACUAAUACCCCAUAAUACAGGGGCUCCGCAUGGAGAUAUUUGUUAAAGAUUUUAUCGGUUAGAGAUGGGCAUGCGUUCCAUUAGCUAGUUGGUGAGGUAACGGCUCACCAAGGCGACGAUGGAUAGGGGAACUGAGAGGUUUAUCCCCCACACUGGAACUGAGACACGGUCCAGACUCCUACGGGAGGCAGCAGUGAGGAAUAUUGGUCAAUGGAGGCAACUCUGAACCAGCCAAGUCGCGUGAAGGAUGAAGGUCUUAUGGAUUGUAAACUUCUUUUGCAGGGGAAUAAAUAGCGGUACGUGUACCGUUUUGCAUGUACCCUGCGAAUAGGAUCGGCUAACUCCGUGCCAGCAGCCGAC
rnacentral:rRNA from 1 species